rnacentral:rRNA from 1 species
GACGAACCGUCCAAACGGUUAUUCGGAAAUCACUGGGCUUACAGAGUUCGUAGGCGGUCUGGAAAGUUGGGUGUGAAAUCCCUCGGCUCAACCGAGGAACGUGCGCUUGAAACUACCAGACUCGAGGGAGAUAGAGGAAAGCGGAACUGAUGGUGGAGCGGUGAAAUGCGUUGAUAUCAUCAGGAACACCGGUGGCGAAGGCGGCUUUCUGGGUCUUACCUGACGCUGAGGAACGAAAGCCAGGGGAGCGAACGGG